UACAGAGGGGGCAAGCGUUGUUCGGAAUUACUGGGCGUAAAGGGCGCGUAGGCGGCCUGUUUAGUCGAACGUGAAAUCCCCGGGCUCAACCCGGGAACUGCGUCCGAUACUGGCUGGCUUGAAUCCGGGAGAGGGAUGCGGAAUUCCAGGUGUAGCGGUGAAAUGCGUAGAUAUUCGGAAGAACACCAGUGGCGAAGGCGACUUACUGGACGAUUGUUGACGCUGAGGUGCGAAAGCGUGGGGAGCAAACAGG
rnacentral:rRNA from 1 species